GACGAACGCUGGCGGCGUGCUUAACACAUGCAAGUCGAACGGAAAGGCCCUGCUUUUGUGGGGUGCUCGAGUGGCGAACGGGUGAGUAACACGUGAGUAACCUGCCCUUGACUUUGGGAUAACUUCAGGAAACUGGGGCUAAUACCGGAUAGGAGCUCCUGCUGCAUGGUGGGGGUUGGAAAGUUUCGGCGGUUGGGGAUGGACUCGCGGCUUAUCAGCUUGUUGGUGGGGUAGUGGCUUACCAAGGCUUUGACGGGUAGCCGGCCUGAGAGGGUGAACGGCCACAUUGGGACUGAGAUACGGCCCAGACUCCUACGGGAGGCAGCAGUGGGGAAUGUUGCACAAUGGGCGGAAGCCUGAUGCAGCAACGCCGCGUGCGGGAUGACGGCCUUCGGGUUGUAAACCGCUUUCGCCUGUGACGAAGCGUGAGUGACGGUAAUGGGUAAAGAAGCACCGGCUAACUACGUG
rnacentral:rRNA from 1 species